rnacentral:rRNA from 1 species
GUAGUUGAUCGUGGCUCAGAUUGAACGCUGGCGGCAUGCCUUACACAUGCGAAGUCGAACGGCAGCAUGAUCUAGCUUGCUAGAUUGAUGGCGAGUGGCGAACGGGUGAGUAAUACAUCGGAACGUGCCCUGUAGUGGGGGAUAACUAGUCGAAAGAUUAGCUAAUACCGCAUACGACCUGAGGGUGAAAGUGGGGGACCGCAAGGCCUCAUGCUAUAGGAGCGGCCGAUGUCUGAUUAGCUAGUUGUGGGGUAAAGGCCCACCAAGGCGACGAUCAGUAGCUGGUCUGAGAGGACGAUCAGCCACACUGGGACUGAGCACGGCCCAG